AGCCGGCUGGCCCCAGCUCGCUCCUCCCGCUGGCCCGGGCCGCCCCCCACCCUAUCCCACUCCCCACCCAACCGCAGGACUUAGGGGCGAUGGCGCUGGAAGCAGCCCCCUUGUCCCGGCUGCGCAGCCGGCGCGCCGCCUUGCUGAAAAAGGGGGUCAGUUUUGACUGCGAGAGCGAAGGAGACCAUUCCGUCUCGGAAGAUCUGGGCUGUAGACGAGGAGAAUUCAGUCGGAAACAUUACGGUUCAGUCGAGCUGCUUAUCUCCAGCGACGCCGAUGGAGCCAUUCAAAGGGCUGGCCGGUUCCGGGUGGAAAAUGGCUCUGUGGAUGAGAACGCCGAUUAUACUCCCGGGACGUGGCACAGAACGGAUGUCCACUUGGAGAACCCAGGAUAUCAUACCAGAUGGUACUUCAAGUAUUUCCUAGGAAAAGUUCAUCAGAACUAUGUCGGCAUGGAUGCAGAAAAGAACCCCUUUUUCUUAUCCGUCGUGCUCUCUGACCAAAACAAUCAGCGUGUCCCACAAUACCGAGCGAUCCUCUGGAGGAAAACAGGUACCCAGAAAAUUUGCCUCCCAUACAGCCCGACGAAAACCUUGUCUGUAAAAUCCAUUUUAAGUGCCAUGAAUCUUGACAAAUUCGAGAAAGGGCCUCGGGAGAUCCUUCACCCGGAAAUUCAAAAGGAUUUAUUAGUCCUAGAAGAGCAAGAGGGCUCUGUCAAUUUCAAAUUUGGAAUUCUUUAUGCCAAAGACGGACAGCUGACGGAUGAUGAAAUGUUUAGCAAUGAAACCGGAAGUGAAACUUUUCAGAGGCUGUUGAGUCUCUUGGGGGACACGGUGACUCUCAAGGGCUGGACCGGCUACCGAGGAGGACUGGACACCAAAAACGACACAACAGGGAUUUAUUCCAUCUACACCGUCUACCAAGGGCACGAGAUCAUGUUCCAUGUCUCAACCAUGCUUCCAUACUCCAAGGAGAACAAACAGCAAGUAGAAAGAAAGAGGCACAUCGGAAAUGACAUUGUCACCAUCGUGUUCCAGGAAGGGGAAGAAGCCUCACCAGCUUUCAAACCGUCCAUGAUCCGUUCUCACUUUACACAUAUUUUUGCCUUAGUGCGGUACAAUAAACAAAGCGAUAGCUACAGACUGAAAAUUUUUUCGGAAGAAAGCGUUCCUCUUUUUGGACCCCCGCUUCCCUCCCCGCCGGUGUUCACCGACCACCAGGAGUUCAGGGAUUUCCUUCUGGUAAAAUUAAUCAAUGGGGAGAAAGCCACCUUGGAAACGCCGACUUUUGCUCAGAAGCGACAACGGACGCUAGACAUGCUAAUCCGCUCCUUAUACCAGGAUCUCAUGCCCGACAUGCACAAGAACAUGCUGAACAGGAGAUCCUUCAGCGACGUCUUGCCUGAAUCCCCCAAAUCAGCUCGGAAGAAAGAAGAAGCUCGGCAAGCAGAAUUUGUCCGGCUUGGCCAGGCCCUCAAACUGAAGAGCAUUGUGAGGGGGGACGCCCCAACUAUUUUAGCCACGACCAGCCUCUGUAAAAAGGAGCCCUGGGAGUCGCAAUGCUUCUGCAGCAAUUUCCAGCAUGAAGUCAUUUGUGCUGAUUCCUGGGGACAGUCCCUGCUUGUCUCAACAGAUGUUGGUGUCUUUCUCUUAGACGAUGGACAACCUCCCAUCCCAGUGUUUGAUAAAACAUUACAGAUCAAACAGAUGCACGUCCUAGAAACGUUGGACCUUCUAAUCACCAGAGCAGACAAAGGGAAGGAGGCACGGCUUCUGGUGUUCAGGCUGAAUGCUCUAUGGAAAGGCAUCGAAGCGAAGUUGACCCGGAGCAAAAGCGAUUGCCGAGAAAACAAGUUGGAGAAAACGAAAGGCUGCCAUCUCUACGCCAUCAACACUCACCACAGCAAUGAACUACGGAUCAUCGUCGCGAUUCGGAACAAGCUCCUUCUCGUCACCCGGAAGUUCAGGCGGUGGGAGACUCUGAACGGUGCACCCUUGGCGUCCCCCCAGUCCGAAUCCCCCAUAGAGGAGUUCCAAUACAUCAGGGAAAUCUGCUUAUCCGACCCACCUGUGGUCAUGACAUUGGUGGAUGGCCCCACCGGCGAAAAUGACAACCUGAUCUGUGUGGCCUACCGACACCAGUUUGACCUGGUCAGCGAGAGCACGGGCGAGUGCUACCGGAUGCACAAUGUGGACGCGAGCAGGGUUAAUUUUGUUGCAGCUAUUGAUGUAUAUGAAGAUGGAGAAGCUAGCCUCCUUUUGUGCUACAAUUAUGUUUGCUAUUACCGUAAAGUGUGUCCCUUCAACGGAGGCACGGCUCUGGUCCAGCCCCUGGCCUCAGACUACCAUUUCAGCUGGAACCAAGUUCCUUACGCGAUCGUUUGCGCCUUUCCUUACAUCUUGGCCUUCACUACUGACUCCAUCGAGAUCCGGUUGGUGGUGAACGGGAACCUGGUUCAUACAGCUGUGGUCCCAGCCUUGCAGCUGGUGGCAUCGAGGUCAGAUAUCUACUUCCGAGCUGCCACAGCAGUGAGCGAGGUGUCCAACAGCAGUUCGAAGGAGACCAGCUCGCCAGGAUCCCCUCAGACGCCUUCCGUCCAGGAAAAUCUGAUUUUCUCUCCUUCCGCAGCAGAAGGUGAAGCUUUGUGCAGGAAUAUCUACAAAAUCCCCCUCAGCAAUCUGGUUGGCCGGAGCAUCGAGCGCCCGCUCAAGUCUCCGAUGGUGCCCAAGGUCAUCACCACCCCGACGUCAUCUGGCAUGGCCCCGAUUCCGGUGGCACCUUCCCUCUCCUUGUCGCGGAUAGAGAUCAAAGAGAUUGCCAGCCGAACCCGCAAGGAAUUGCUCGGUCUCUUAAACGAUCCUUCUUCGAAGUCCGAAAGUGGCCCAAAGCAGAAGAAGCUUCCAUCAAAACAAUCAGACCCCCCCAAACAGGGAACUCUACGGUCCUCCAGCAGUGACAGGCUUGUGGUAACCUCCUUUGAGAGCACUUCUGAAGAGCCUCACUUCUCUACCGUUUCAGAUGUUGACCCCGUCCCGCUGGCGGAGGAGAAGGAGGAGGAGAAGGAGGAGGAGAAGGAGGAGGGCCUGCCCAGCGCUCGCUUCCAACUCGGGGCCUCAUUUGAUGAAGGUGUCAUUGACUUGAAGUGAAGACAGCUGUGAGGACCCAUUUUUGCACGCACUCGCCUUCCCCCCACCCCCACCCAAGUUCUCUGCCAUCGGCCCCCACCCUGCCCGCCCCCAUUUUGUACAGCGCUCUUAAAACGGUAUCCGUCACAGCCAGAAGUCCUAGUAAUUUUAGAAGUCGUCACCACAUGCAAUCCAAGAGAGGGGCCCAGGGAUCCAACUUGGGAGGACUGAAUUGUCUCAGUCGAUCGAUGGAUUGAACCAGAGGCCAACUCUGGAUGCCUGAAUUGUUUCAGUUGAUCGAUUGAUUGAAUGAGAAGCCAGCUCUGGACGCCCAAAUUGUUUCAAUCGAUCGAUUGAUCGAACAAGAGGCUAACUCUGGGAAGCCUGAAUUGUGUCAAUUGAUAAAUUGAUUGAAUGAGAGGCCAGCUCUGGAUGUUUGAAUUGUUUCAAUCAAAUCGAUUGAUCGAACAAGAGGCCAACUGGAUACCCGGAUUAUUUCAAUUGAUCAACUGAUUGAACGAGAGGUCAACUCUGGAUGCCUGAAUUGUCUCAGUUGAUAAAUUGAUUGAAUGAGAGGCCAGCUCUGGAUGUUCAAAUUGUUUCAAUCGAUCGAUUGAUUGAACGAGAGGCUAGUUCUGGAUGCCCAAAUUGUUUCAAUCGAUCAAUCAAUUGAUUGAACGAGAGGCCAGUUCUGGAUAUCCGAAUUGUCUCAGUUGAUCGAUUGAUCGAACAAGAGGCUAAGGAUGUGUGUGUAUGUGUGUGUGUAUUCUUUUUGGUGACGAGAGCGGUCACCCAAUUUUUUGUGUGGUGUUGUUGGGGGGGGAAAAGGCUUUGGGCGAAGGAUCGGAUGAGUUUUAAUCAGUGAAUUGAUUAAACCUCUAUGUUUUCACAUGGAACAUGGAUUUUGAGGAACAGACUGCUGACAGUUCAGGGGUGGGCCAAAUUCUAAGUGCCCCCUUCCUUCAUGGCAACGACCAAGAGUCACGUUCCUUUUCUCCAUCAGCGCUGAGGGAUGGUGAUGACCUUGGACAGCCUUAGAGAUUGUCCCCAGAUUAGGAGAUCAGAAUGGAAAGAAUGGAAAAUGGAAGUUCUCCAACCAACAUUUCUCAUCCUUUGAAGUUAGAAGGGGGGUCCUGGAUCCAUGCCGGGGAUGGCCUCCACCUUCCUUGUCUGAAACAGGCCAGGGAUCCUGCCUCCUCCAGGGUCUUAGCUUAUAUUCCAUAUUUAUUAUUAAUUACCCAGCUGCGGCGAAGCAACUGGCCAUUGCAAUCUGCCCUACGAGGAAGAUCCUAGAAGCAUCUGGGUUGGUCAUUGUCUGUAGGGCACUGUAGGCUGCUGGACCCGAACAUCACAAUCCAAAGGUGUAUUUGGUGUGUGGAGGAUUUGCCCCCUGCAAAUCCUGCCCGUGACCGCGAGACUUAAUUUCUGAUUGGAUCAGCAGGGAGAGGUUAUUAGUAAAGGAUGGCCCAGCCAUCUCUACUCAAUCGAUUGCUUUGGCACACUCAAGAUUCGGUUGUGCAGUCUUGAAAUAGCUUUUUGGUCUGAUCCGGGGGAGGGGUGGGUGGCAAAGAAAUCUGGAAUACUUUCAUUUAAAAAGGUUGGAAGUUAGAAGGGACCUUGGAGGUCUUCUAGACCAACCCCCGCCCCCCCCGCCCCUGCUCAAGCAGGAGAGCCUAUCCUAUUUUGAGACAAACGGUCGCCCAGUCUCUUCUUUGAAAUCCUCCAAUGGUGGAGCACCCACAGUUUAACACCCCACACCGCACCCCCAAAUAUAUAAAUCCUGUCCAAUUAACGACGGUUGCUUCUACUUAGGAAAAAAAAUUCUUGUCGAGGAACCUAAUCCAUUACAAAAAAACCAACAACAACACCCUUUCGGUUGCAACAGAUAGGAAGACGAGAGCUUUCUCAAGCUGAACAUCUGUUCUUCCCCUUCCCGCCUCAUUUUGAUUCGUGGAUAAAUGUCUCUCUAUUUCCGCCCCCCCCCCAUUUCUGCCAAGUAGAAAAGGACAAGGUUAGGUAGAGCAAUACAGCUGUUUCUUUAUCCCCGGACAUCUCCGAAAAAUACUGCAAGCCAAAAGCUCUCUUUGGAUGAGUGACUUCCUAGUGACCAUGAAUGGAUUGGCCAAAGAGUUUAAACUUGAAGGUGACCGCUGGGGUAAGAUCCAGUAAGAUCCUGGGAUCAGUGGUGAAAUCCAGAUUUUUUUUUUACUACCGGUUCUGUGGGCGUGGUUUGUUGGGCGUGGUGUGGCUUAGUAGGUAUGGCAGGGGAAGGAUGCUUCAAAAUCCCCAUUCCCACCCCACUUCAGGGGAAGGAUACUGCAAAAUCCCCAUUCCACUCCUGGGGGAAGGAUACUGCAAAAUCCCCAUUCCCUCCCCACUCCUGAGGGAAGGAUACUGCAAAAUCCCCAUUCCCUCUCCACUCCUGGGGGAAGGAUACUGCAAAAUCUCCAUUCCCUCCCCACUCCAGGGGAAAGAUACUGCAAAAUCCCCAUUCCCUUUCCACUCCUGGGGGAAGGAUAUUGCGAAACCUCCAUUCCUACCCCACUCUGGGGCCAGCCAGAGCUGGAAUUUGCCAGUUCUCCGAACUACUCAGAAUUUCCGCUACCGGUUCUCCAGAACCUGCUGGAUUUCACCCCUGCCUGGGAUCCGGUAACCGGUUGAGCUUUUUCAAGAGAGGCAAGGAAAGCUUGGAAGAGAUACCAUACCUCCGGGGUAGGGACACUUGAAGCUACUUCCAACCUCUGGUAAAUAGGUUUUGGAGCUUUGGGUUUUUCAAAAAGUUGGCAACCCUGUUUUAACCAGAGGUAAGCUGGUACCAGAAGUGUCCCCUGACCCUCUCUUGGGGGGCGGGAGAAAUUUCUCUCAAAGCCACCUUUAAUCUCGGCGACGUUUCCACGUGCCCUAACCCAUCUCCUUGGCCCUUACCUUUAAUAAUAAUAAUAAUAAUAAUAAUAAUAAUAAUAAUAAUAAUAAUAAUAAUAAUAAUAAUAAUAAUAAUAUUUUAAUUUGUAUACCGCCCUUCUCCCGAAGGACUCAGGGCGGUUUACAGCCAAGAUAAAAUACAAUGGAAACACAUACAAUACUAAAAACAGACGUUAAAAAACUUAUUAAAUUUGGUCCAAUUUUAAAAUACAAUCAAACUAUCAAACUAUCAAAUUUGGUAGUUUCUGACCUGUGCUUGGUUCAGACACCCUUGUCUACGGAGGUUCUCAAAUCAUCCAGGUCAUGGUUGUUCCAAAAGUGCUUUUCCAAAAGACAACUGGAUUUUUCCCGGCUUUUGUCCGUGGGAAAAACUUCCGCGACUCUCAGAAGGAGCGCUAACGACCAGAGGACUGCAAAUGAAUAUUAAAUCCUUCCAUUCUCCGCCUUUCAGCUAGAACUGAAGAAGCUUCUUGGAUGAGAAGCGAAACGUUUUCAAGGAAGGGGGGGGGGAAAAACCCCAACAAGGAAGUCCAGUUGCCUUUGGAAAAGCACCUUUGGUUCAGACGCUCGUAGAAACCAGAUCUCCAUCCGAAGGUGAUCAAGUAGGGUUUCCUGCCUGGGCAGGGGGUUGGACUAGAAGGCCUCCAAGGUCCCUUCCAACUCUGUUAUUAUAUAUUAUUAAGGAGUCCUGCCCCAGGUGAGAAAGACUGACACCUGACGGCUGACCUCUGCUCUGGUGCCAACAUCUCCUUGCCAGGUUCACCAAGUUGACUCCGAUUCGCCCUCCCUUGCACGAACAAUCCCGCUCUGCUCGUUUAUUUAUGUGUAAUUUAUUUAUUUAUUUAUCCCCCUGAUCGGCAGACCGAGCAAUACUUCCAAGUUAACGACCCCCUUCCAAGAACCAAACGGUUUGGUUUGGACCACGGAAGACGGCAGGAUGUCUAUUUUAUUUUAUUUUUUUAUUUUAUUUUCAUUUUAUUUUAGAACCGGAUCGUCGUCUUUAAGCUUUCGUGAAUCUCCGACUACAGAACAGAAUAGAGAAUAACAAGAGCUGGAAGGGGCCUUGGAGGUCUACUAGUCCAACCCUCGAUGCUCAGGCAGGAAACCAUAUUCCGUUUCAGACGAAAUGGUCGUUCCAAUCUCUUCUUUAAAACUUCCAGUGCUCACAACUUCUGAAGGCAAAGUUGUUCCACCGAUUCAUUGUUCUAAUUGUCAGGAAUUUUCUUCUUAGCUCUAGAUUGCUUCUCUCCUUGGUUAAGAUUCCAUCCAUUGCUUCUUGUCCUGCCUUCAGGUGCUUUGGAGAAUAGCUUGACCCUUUCUUCUUUUUGGCAGCCCCUCAAAUAUUGGAAGACUGCAAUUAUGUCACCCUUAGUCCUUCCUUUCAUUAAACUAGACCUAUCCAGUUCCUGCAGCCGUUCUUUAUACGUUUUAGCCUCCAGCCCCCUCAUCCUCUCUGUUGCUCUUCUCUGCACUCUUUCUAGAGUCUCAACAGUUCGUCAGUUUCCUUCCUUCCUUCCUUCCUUCCUUCCUUCCUUCCUUCCUUCCUUCCUUCCUUCCUUCCUUCCUUCCUUCCUUCCCUGGCAACGUCUCUUCUGAGAUUAGAACGAGGCAGGUCUAGGAAGAGAUUCCCACCUCUGGGGGGCAGGGGAGUGGCGAUCUCCAGUUUGCAACCCUUCCCGGUGGCUCCUCCACUCCGCCUUCGAUCUCCUACCUCUUUUUACCCACCAAGGUUCCAUGAUCCAGCCCCUCUUGGCCUUCGCCUGAUUGCCUUAUGUUUUUUGCUCAUUGGACAGAGCAGUUAAAAUCCAUCUCGGGCGGGACGGUUAUAUAAAACAAAUCCUUUGGACUGUUUUGCCUGCCCCAUUCGUCCUGGGGCGGGGGGGGGGGGCAGGCCUCUCGCACCCUUGGCUGGUGGAAAACAAGCUGCUGAAUUUCUAGAUCUAAUAGAAGAGAGUCAUUGGGUUGAGUUUGCAGGGAUACCCUUGUUCUGUCCCCCUCCUCAGUCCGGGAGACAGGAGCGAUGGCUUAAUUAGCCGGCAACUAUCAGCUCUGGCAGAAAACUAGCAAGUAUCUGCCAAGUGUCUCUGUUAUCUCUCUUGAUGCCGGUGAGUCAGCCAGGAAACCAGGAACAAACAGGACUUCAGCUCUAAUUCUCUCCCUCUAAGCAGUUGAUUUGCUUGCCAUGAAGUGGUAUAGCAGCCCUUGCUGCUUUUAUAUCCUGUGGGGUGUGGCUCCAUGACUCAGCACUUCCUAGGCCUGCCCCACUCCUGCUUCUGUUGUUCCCGCCUCUCCUGCCUACGAAACCUAGGGUCCAGCCAGGCCUGAUUGCCAUCAGCCGGGUCUGGAGGCGUGGCCUGGGGGGGAAGAGUCAGGGGUCGGAGUCCUCAUUAUCUCUUCCACCUGGCCUGCCUCUGACUCCUGGAGCUGAGCCAGGGAAGCCAGUGCUCCAGAGGUAAAUCCUGAUGGCCCUUCCCCCUCACUUUCCGAGUCACUUUCUGGCAGGGCCCCCGGCUCGGGGGGCGCAGACACAACACCCUCCAAGAAAUAUGAUGGGAAAAGGAAGAAUCCAUCAAGCAACCAGCUGGUCGGUGCAGACUUUUCUUUCCUGAGGAUACAGUGCCCCAUUCCCCACGUCUCAAAAAACAGCUAGUCGGCAACACGAGAACCAGCGCACAACGAAAUCCGAAUCUACCCACUGCUUUCCAAACACAUUCUAAUUUCUAGCCGCCCUGCAGAUCGGUGGCACUGAAUCAUUCACACCCGUUCCCCUUGGCUGAAGGAGCCAGCCGGGGACGAUGAGAAUUGGAAUACAGCCCCUCUUGGAAAAAGGGGGCCCGGCUUUCCCAAAAAAAGUCCCAGAACGGAAAGAAGCUGGGUUGAGAGACAGAGGGAAGGGCGCACAAAAGCUCCGUAGGGCCGCCAAGAUUUGGGCAGAAAUAGAUUCGGUGGCUUUUGGGAAUUUCUUUUGAAUGUAGCAUCUCUUGGUGGUGGUUUUUUUAACGCGUGCGUUUGCUGGAGAUGAGGCACUUGCGUUUCUACUUUGGUGAAAAUUAUCCUCCCACCCCCCACCCCUUCCAUUUUCUCUGCUAUCACUUCUUUGAUUCCAAAAGAACAUUUUUAUUUUAUUUUAUUUUUUGGGUGUAAUCUUGCUCUUGCAAAAUCUCGCCGCAGUGGGUGGGGGUGGGGGCAGGAGGACGCUUGUUGUAAAUUAGCCGAAUAAUUCUUACCUGUCGCUCUCAUUUUGCCGAGAGGUAUGUUUUUCUUCUGCUCGAAGGUCGUGGCACCGGCGACAGUUGUACAAUCAAAGGUCUUCCAGGCAGGGUAGGUUAAGAAGAUUUGAGUGCGCACAGCAGAUGUGUCACUGGGCUUUGAAACACGGUUAUAACCAUUUCAACUUUUUACAAGAGUAGAUUUGUAGCUCGGGGUUCCACUGUGGGGUUCCUUGGCGGUCUCCAAGCUUGUUUGUGUUCUCACAGAUGUUUCGUUACCCAGCUAGGUAGCAUCAUCAGUGCAAACCCCCCACCCCCUUCUAAGCACUGGUGAUGUUGCCUACAGUAGUGGCCAAAAUUGUGGAAACCCUUUCGGGGAAAAGUAUAUUUUCUAAAACUAGCUAAUAACACAACUUUUCUUUUCUUUUUUGGGAGGGGAGUAGUACCAUAAAAUUAUAUAUCAAUGGAAAGAUAAUUUAAUCAAGAAUGUUAACGCAAUGACUUUUAUGAAGGAUUUGCUGUUAGAAUAGCAGUUGCGGUAUAAAGAAGAAAAGUGAAAGGCGUAGAAAAAACGAGAUAUACAAAAAUGAUCCCCAUGUCAGUGAGUACUUCGUUGGGUCACCUUUAGCACGAAUGACGGCCUUACGACGUCUUCCCGUGGAGUGAACCAAGUCUUUGAGUUCUGUAGCUGUUCUAAUGUGAAACCAAGAUUGAAUGUUUGCUUCUAUUAACUGGGUUUUAUUGCUGGGUCACUUCUGACUAACAAGUUUCUUUAGUCGGCUCCAUAGCUUUUCCAUUGGGUGAAGGUCUGGGCCAUUCCAGCAGUGGAAUAGGAUUAUCUUGAAACUCAAAAAAAAAAAAAAAAAGUGGUGUUAUUAGCCAUCAAACCUCAAAAUUACACUUUUCCCAAAAGGUUUCCAACAAUUUCGGCCACUACUGUAGCUGGAUAACGAAACAUCUGUGAGAAAACGACCAAGCUCGGAGAACACCAAAGAACUCACAAUGUCAACUCGUCUUUUGCUAUCUUCAAUUUUGUUUCUUUUUGGUUUUUUUGUGCCUUUGAGUUGGUCUUUAACUCCUGGAAUUUGCCUGGAGAAAUCCUGGUAGUUUUCUCAGCAAAACUGGUCAGAAUUGGUCUACCCAGGGCUGAGAAGAGAGAGAAAGAGAAUAACUAGCCCAAAGUCACCCCGUUGGCUUUGCGUCUCAGGCAGUCUAGAACUCCCAGCCUCCUGGUUUUUCUAGCCUGAUGCCUUACCCUCUGCCCCAAACUGGGUCUCCGUUGCUGCCGCUCGACACCUGACCGCAAAUUUGCCAAGCGUUUUUUACCGCUUCCCCAAAAAAGAGAGAGAGAGAGAGAGAGACUCUUGUGAUGUCCCCAAUUCAAAUGUUGCCUUGAAGCCGAGUCUCCUAACUGAAAAAAAAAAGUGCCCCCCACCCAUUAAACCGGGAUUAAUCCCUCCCACCAUCUUCAUGGUGAAAAACGGUGCUGUGUUUGUGCGAUGACUGCAUCGCCCCUUUUGAAAUGGCGGUGAUAGUAGAAAAUUCAUCCAUCCGGUAUCGGGGGCGGGCGGGUUGUUGUUGUUUUUUCUUUCCCCAAAGGCAAUUUUGGGAAAUCACAAAAACCAAACGCAGAGAAGGAAAACUGGUUAAAUUUUGAUGCUUUUACCCAAAAGACCAUGACUCUUAUGUAAUGUUCUCCCAGCCGUGGUUAAUUCUGAUUUUCAUUCACGCGGGCAACUCUUUCGCCGUGGCUUGACGGAUGAAGCCUCUUAGCAGGGCUUUGCUACCGGUUCGCAAAUGUGAGUGUGCGCAUAUGGGCAGAGUGUCAAAAACCAGGACGUGAUGACAUCCGGGCAGGUGGGCGGAGCCUCCCACAUCCGCCGCUACCGGUUCGCGCGAACCGGAGUGAACCAGCUGAAUUCCACCGCUUAGGUGAAACUUGGUGGUCUUUGCUCAUCCAGCCACACAAAAUACGGACCACCAGGUUUUCCUGCUGAAAGGAGAUUGUAGGCGACGGUUAUUAAUCGCUCUUCUCUCCCGUUACUGAAAGAAUGUGCAAUCAGGGUAGUGUGUUGUGUUGUUUUGUUUUUUUAAAAAAGAAGGAUGAUCUGUGCUUAAACUUAAGAGGUGGUAGAAUUUACUAUACCCAUGGACUGCUUUUCCACUUCGCCUCCCAACACACGCUCUUACUCUCGAACAACGAAACCAGGUUAACCUUUUCUGGCCUGGCACCUGGUACAAGUUAACCAUACUCCCCUUUCAGCACCGGCCCAUGCUGGUUGGGGAUGCUGGGAGUUGUAGUCUUAGGAGAUGGAGGGAGGCCGAUCUGCCUUGUUUUGUUUUGUUUUGUUUCCUGUCUUCCUUUUCAGCCGAAGGCUGAGCAGCGUUUUUUUUUUCCCUGCCCGGUAAGACCUUCCGCUGUUGCAAAUAAAAAGAAAAGAAGAAGGGAGAAAACGGCACCUAGCAAAACGAACCACCUUGGCUCCGAAAAUGUGGCGCAAAACGUUUUGCCUCUUUUUCAAGAUCGCAGCCACAAUUGUAGCGUUGGACGUUAUUACACCCUGAUCUGCUGUGGUCGGCUUUGCACGUCUGUUCCUGUUUGUGCCAUUGGACUUGGUGUACUUAAAUUUUUCCAUGUUUUCCCUGAGGUAUUCUGAUGUCUCCAGAGGAAGAACUCUUCCUCCUCCUUUCCUCCCUUCUUCAUCCCUCCUCCUUCUCCUCCUUCCUCUUUCUUUAUUCCUCAUCUCUUCCCUUCUCCUCCUCUUUCUCCUCCUCCUCCUUUCUUCCCUUCUCCUCCUCCUCAUCCCCUCUAUCUUCUCCUUUCUUCCCUCCUCCUCCUCUCCCCUCCCUCCCUCCCUCCCUUCCUCUUUCUCCGUUCCUCCUCCUCCUCGUUUCUUCCCUUCUCCUUCUCCUUCUCUAUUUCUUCUGCUCCUGUUCUUCUUCCUUCUUCCUUCUUCUCCUUCCUUCUUCCCCGCCUUCCUCCUCCAUCUUCCCCUCUUCCCCUUCUCUUCCAAGUCUUCUUCUUCUUCUUCCUCCUCCUCCUCCCUCCCUCCCUCCCUUCCUUCCUCUUUCUCCGUUCCUCCUCCUCGUUUCUUCCCUUCUCCUCCUCCUUCUCUACUCCUUCUGCUCCUUUUCUUCUUCCUUCUUCCUUCUUCUCCUUCUUUCUUCCCCUCCUUCCUUCUCCAUCUUCCCCUUCUCUUCCAAGUCUCCUCCUCCUCCUCCUCCUCCUCCUCCUCCUCCUCCUCCUCCUCCUCCUCCUCCUCCUCCUCCUCCUCCUCCUCCUCCUCCUAAGUUGGAGGUGGGAGAGAGCGGGUGCUUUUGGCAAGAAUGACUUGCUAACAUUUACAAAAUAACUCCUCUCGCCGGACAGAAGGCACUCUGAAGCUGAUGCGUGUACAAAUCCGUUUGUCGUCGACACUGGUUGCUUGUUUUCCUGUCUUCUCUUUUCUUUCCAAAGAGCGUCCUCCAGCAUUAUCUGGCACGAGUUAGGUGUGAUUCCCCCUGUGCCCCCCCCAACUCCCCAAAGCAACAGAUGGAGAAGGAAGGCAGAUUCGGCUAACCUCCGUUCCACCUUCCCCUCCCUCCCCCACAUCUCCCCUUUCUUGUUAUGGGGUGUGAAAUCAUGUUUGGAUGAUCCAAGCGCCUUAGAAGAAGAAUCAGGGAGGGGACGGACGGGGGAACGACAACCGAUUUAUUGGCAGGAAGGAGCCGGGAGAAAUCGAGGUGAUGUUUUACCGCUUAAAUCUACGAUACCGAAAUCUCACUCUUGCGGAUUUACUGACGAGUAAAGGUGUCAGCCGCUCCUUUCCAGGGCCAGCUGUUGCUCACACACUCACCUCUGGUUGAUCUCACCGGAGAUGGAUCCCAUGGCGGAUGAUUUAGAAAAUGCAAGUUAAAAGUGGCUGUGAAGAUUCUCAAGUCAACCACGUCGCAGUUGUAUCAGAAGUGAUUAUAUAUAUAGUGAUAUAUAUAUAUAUAUAUGGAUUAUAUAUACAUAUAUAUGUAGGUCUUUGGUUAUUCGGGUUUUCUCCCGUAUAAAAUUGGAAGUGUCUUGGCGACGUUUCGACGAAAUCUCAUUCGUCAUCUUCAGGCUGGUGUUUACAGCUUCGUGCUUCUAGGAGCUCUUAUGCUCACAUAAGAACAAAGCCAAAGCCUGAAGAUGAUGAGUGAGAUCUCAUCAAAACGUUGCCGAAAUACUUCCAAUCUUACACGGGAAAAGACCCGAACAUACCAAAACCUGCAUAUAUAUAUAUAUUUGAAAAGGCCACUGGAUGGAUUUUUUUCCCCCCUGAGGAGAAAGAAGACGUUUCACUUCCCAUCCUGGAAGCUUCAUCAGUUCUAUUGCAUGGUGUGGGAGAUGGAAGGGCAGUUUUUGACUGUUGAGAUUAGUUGGCAGGGGAAGAGGAAUGAUAGAAUGAUAGGAGGUGGGGGGUGAGAAUGGAAAAAUUGUGCUUUCUUUGCAGGCAACUGGUCUGAGAUGACCCUGAGGUCACGAAUAAAACUCCCAAGUAACAACAACGGCUCUCAAGAGUUGUUAUCAAUCCUCUCCCCCAAUUCUCUCUGCUCGAUUUGUAGCUCUUGUAGCUCGGGGUUGAACUGUGGGGUCCCUCGUGCUCUCUGAGCUUGGUUGUUUCCUUGGAGACGUUUCAUUACCCAGCUAGGUAACAUCAUCAGUGCUAGAAGGGAGUGGGGUCUGUGGAAUGGAAGAGGAGAAUGACUGUGAAUGUCCUUGGUGCUCGCUGAGCUUGGUUGUUUUCUUGCAGAUGUCUCAUUACCCAGCCAGGUAACAUUAUCAGUGCUAAAGAGGGAGGAAAACUCUGGGGUCCUGGUGCUCUCUGAGCUUGGUUGUUUUCCUUGGAGACGUUUCAUUACCCAGCUAGGUAACCUCAUCAGUGCUAGAAGAGAGAAGACAACUGUAUAUAAAAAGAACAAAUCCCCUCCCUUCUAGCACUGAGGAUAUUACCUAGCUGGGUAAUUAAACGUCUGCAAGAAAACCACCAAGCUGAGAGAGCAUCAAAGACCCCGCAGUCCUCUUCCUCCUCCUCCUCCUCCUCCCUUCUAGCACUGAUGGUGUUACCUAGUUGGUUAAUGAAAAGUCUACAAGAAAACAACAAGGCUCAGAGAACACCCAACAACCUCACAACUCUCAACUCCACUUCGCUGUCUUUAAUGUUGUUUUUUGUUGUGCCUUUGAGUCAGUGGUGGGUUCUAACCGGUGUUAACCACCGGCUCGCUUCGCGCAAGCGCAUUGACUUACUGAGCAGCUGAGGCAUGGCAAUCUACUCGGCCGUGCCUUUCAGCUGGGCUAAAAACGAAGGAAUAAAGGUAGGCGUAGCGCAGGGGCAUAGCCCAGAUGACGGUCGGAGCGAACCGGUUUGCUGUCGCAUCAAGAUCUCCGCUACCGGCUCUCCCGAACCGGGGAGAACCGGUAGCAACCGACCACUGCUUUGAGUUCAAUCUUAACUCCUGGAACUUCCCGGAGAAAUCCUGGCAAUUUUCUUGGCAAGAUUUCAGAACUCGCCUCUUUCUUCCCAAAGCUGAGAGCGAGUAACUGGCCCAAAGUCACCCAGGUGGACCCUGAGGUCACAGAUAAAACCCCGAGUAACCACAACGGCUCUUGGGGAGUGUCAAGGCCAGGUAACCACAAAGAAAACACAACUUUCCCAUUCUCACACAUCCCCUCACCCGCUAUCCUGUCAGAACCUGCCGUUCCCCCUCCUCCCCCAAUUCAUCUCGGCUGUCAAUCCCUUGCCCUUCCAUCUCCUGCAACCGUCCAAUAGAACGGAUGAAGCUUCCAGGAUAGGAAGCGAAACCUCUUUUUUCCUCCCCACCCCCUCAAAAUAUCAACCCAGUUGCCUUUUUUUGCCCCCACCCAAAAAAUAAUUAUUUAUUUCAAAAAUUUAAAAAAACAACCCUCACUUUUGAUACAAGUUAAAAGUGGAAUGGUCUCUUCACCACGCCAUGCUCCAUGGGUCGAUCAGAGAAUUAAAUCACCCGAAAUCUUUUUUUGGGGCUUAAAUCUCCCAUUCCUGCCCCUUCCCCCUUCUCGACGCCUCUCAGAUCAUGGCUUUACUCACACCUAACUUUGUUUGCUGGAUUGUGCCCCUUUGACUGUUAACUCUUAACUAGGAUUUUGUACUUUUCAAUGAUUCUGUGCUGUCAGCCUGUGGCUUCUCCUCUUGUCAGUCUCAAAAGUUUAAAUUAUACCACCAAGUGUCUUAAACUUAAUUGUAUUGGCCAUUGUUUUUUCAAUGCUAUGAGUAAAUAAUGUAUUAUUUUCCUUUUUUUUUCUUCUUCUUCUUCCUGUGUGUUUUCAAAGCUUGUAAAAAAAAACAAAAAAACACAGAGAGAGCAAGAGCGCGCGAGAGAAUCAUACUUUGAAUAUAAUGGCAAACAUUUGUUCUGAAAGUUCCAUAGACUUUCACAGCUGUAAAAAAAAUCAACUGUUGGGGUAUUUUUUUUUUCCUUCCUUGAUAUGUAAUAAAUAUUUAUGACAUUUGAUAAUGCGGUUUUAUCCUUGGUUUCUUCCCCUGGAGUGUGCUUGUAAUUCACGAGCGCCUCAGAACUGUUCUCGCUCCUCCCUGAACUUUUGAAUACCGAAGAGGAGAGAAAAAUACACCUUUCGCCUUUUGUGAAUACACACACACAACACACACAUCCUGAUCCUUUUUUUCCUGGGGCCACAUUUGACCAUGUAUCCUCACAAUUUCCCCUGGGGAAAUGAACAGUGCUCAAAAGGAAGCUGUUUUUAUUGCUUGAGCCUACAAACAGGAAUCUUAAAAGUUAAAAUUCCCUUCGCACAUAUUUGCUACUCAUUCCAGACUCUAGGGGGCGGUGCUCA